AUCUACCACAGCCCUAUAACAAAACAGGAAGAAAUGGAGUUGAAUGAAGUGGGGUUCAAGUUUGUUAGGAAGUGCAUCAAUUUUAUUGAGACGAAAGGGAUCAAGACAGAAGGGUUGUACCGUACUGUGGGCAGCAACAUCCAGGUUCAGAAGCUACUCAAUGCCUUUUU